rnacentral:rRNA from 1 species
ACCGGAUGCCGAUCUCGAAACCUGUCCCAGUUCGGACUGGAGUCUGCAACCCGACUCCACGAAGUUGGAUUCGCUAGUAAUCGCGCAUCAGCCAUGGCGCGGUGAAUACGUUCCCGGGCCUUGUACACACCGCCCGUCAAGCCAUGGGAGCCGGGGGCGCCUGAAGUCCGGGACCGCGAGGACCGGCCUAGGGCGAAACUGGUGACUGGGGCUAAGUCGUAACAAGGUACC